rnacentral:lncRNA from 1 species
UGCAGGGUGAGAUGGGAGGUGAUGGAGGUGGAGGAUCCAGAGGUGGGGGCGAUGGAGGUGGAGGAUCCAGAGGUGGGGGCGAUGGAGGUGGAGGAUCCAGAGGUGGGGGCGAUGGAGUUGGAGGAUCCAGAGGUGGGGGGGCGAUGGAGGCGGGCGGAUCUGGAAGACGACCUGGGUGGAGAUCGAGGAGAGAAUUCAAAACUGAAGGGUAACCUGGUCAUUUUGCUGCUUUUUCACCUGGUCGGGAAAAAUCCCCAGCGUCAUGUAUUUCGGAACGGAGGGAGUA